CCUACGGGUGGCAGCAGUGGGGAAUAUUGCGCAAUGGGCGAAAGCCUGACGCAGCGACGCCGCGUGAGGGAUGAAGGUCUUCGGAGCGGAAACCUCUGUCAGCAGGGAAGAACGGUCACGGUGCUAAUCAGCAGUGAAUUGACGGUACCAGCAAAGGAAGCACCGGCUAACUCCGUGCCAGCAGCCGCGGUAAGACGGAGGGUGCGAGCGUUAAUCGGAAUUACUGGGCGUAAAGCGCUCGUAGGCGGUAUGUCAAGUCAAGGGUGAAAUCCCCGCGCUCAACGUGGGAACUGCCUUUGAAACUGGCAACCUGGAGUGUGUGAGAGGAUAGUGGAAUUCCUGUUGUAGGCGUUCAAUCCUUCGAUAUCUGGCGGAACAUCAGUGGCGAAGGCGACUAUCUGGCACAUAACUGACGCUGAGGCGCGAAAGCGUGGGUAGCAAACAGGAUUAGAUACCCCAGUAGUC
rnacentral:rRNA from 1 species